rnacentral:lncRNA from 1 species
AUAGGGUGUGGAGGAUAUAUGUUAACAUUAGUUAGUGUCGAUUUAAUUUUUCAAACUCUAAACCAUUAUCUAGCUUUUUGAAAGUAUUAACAUCUCAUACUACGGGCUAACUAUUUUAAAUUUCACCAAUGUUGUAAGGGAAGAAGUCAUAGACAAAGUUAAUUUUUCUGCAUUUUAUGUUAAUUUGACUUAGCAUCAAUUUGUGGUUGAUAU